rnacentral:tRNA from 1 species
UCCUGAUAGCUCAGUUGGUAAAGAAUCUGCCUGCAAUGCAGGAGACCCUGGUUUGAUUCCUGGAUCAGGAA